AUUGAACGCUGGCGGCAUGCUUUACACAUGCAAGUCGAACGGUAACAGGCCGCAAGGUGCUGACGAGUGGCGAACGGGUGAGUAAUGCAUCGGAACGUGCCCAGUCGUGGGGGAUAACGCAGCGAAAGCUGCGCUAAUACCGCAUACGAUCUAUGGAUGAAAGCGGGGGACCGUAAGGCCUCGCGCGAUUGGAGCGGCCGAUGUCAGAUUAGGUGGUUGGUGGGGUAAAGGCUCACCAAGCCAACGAUCUGUAGCUGGUCUGAGAGGACGACCAGCCACACUGGGACUGAGACACGGCCCAGACUCCGACGGGAGGCAGCAGUGGGGAAUUUUGGACAAUGGGCGCAAGCCUGAUCCAGCAAUGCCGCGUGCAGGAAGAAGGCCUUCGGGUUGUAAACUGCUUUUGUACGGAACGAAACGGUCCUGGUUAAUACCCGGGGCUAAUGACGGUACCGUAAGAAUAAGCACCGGCUAACUACGUGCCAGCCGCCGCGGUAAUAC
rnacentral:rRNA from 1 species